UGGGGAAUAUUGCACAAUGGAGGGAACUCUGAUGCAGCGACGCCGCGUGAGUGAUGAAGGAAUUCGUUUCGUAAAACUCUGUUCUAUGGGAAGAAAAGGACUGUACCAUAGGAGAAAGCUCCGGCUAAAUACGUGCCAGCAGCCGCGGUAAUACGUAUGGAGCGAGCGUUGUACGGAAUUAUUGGGCGUAAAGGGUGCGCAGGCGGCUUUACAAGUUGGAUGUGAAAUAUUGUGGCUCACCCACAAACGUGCAUCCAAAACUGCAAAGCUUGAGUUAAGGAGAGGUAAGUGGAAUUCCUGGUGUAGCGGUGGAAUGCGUAGAUAUCAGGAGGAAUACCGGUGGCGAAGGCGACUUACUGGCCUUAAACUGACGCUCAGGCACGAAAGCGUGGGGAGCAAACAGG
rnacentral:rRNA from 1 species